rnacentral:rRNA from 1 species
ACUCCUACGGGAGGCAGCAGUGAGGAAUUUUCCACAAUGGGCGCAGGCCUGAUGGAGCGACGCCGCGUGAGGGACGAAGGGGCUAUGCCUUGUAAACCUCUGUCGGAAGGGAAGAAUGAGACCCUCGGGGUCUUUGGACAGUACCUUUAAAGGAAGGAUCGGCUAACUACGUGCCAGCAGCCGCGGUAAU